UGUACGCUGGCCGAGUGGUUUAGGCGACGGCGCUAUUGUAGCAGAGGAGGGGAGGGGCCCGGGUUCGAGUCCCGGGCACGUACAA